rnacentral:rRNA from 1 species
GAUGAACGCUGGCGGCGUGCCUAAUACAUGCAAGUCGAGCGAAGCGGGGACGGGUGAGUAACAUGUGGAUAACCUCCUAUAAGACUGGGCUCACUUCGGGAAACCGGAGCUAAACCGGAUACCUAUAGAAGGCUCCGCGCUGCAUUAGCUAGUUGGUAAGGUAAUGGCUUACCAAGGCAACGAUGCAUGUCCUACCUGAGCGGGUGAUCGGCAACACUGGAACUGCGACACGGUCCAGACUCCUACGGGAGGCAGCAGUAGGGAAUAUUCCGCAAUGGACGAAAGCCUGACGGAGCAACGCCGCGUGAAUGAUGAAGGACUUCGGAUCGUAAAACUCUGUUAUUAGAGAAGCGGUACCUAAUCAGAAGGCCACGGCUAACUACGUGCCAGCAGCCGCGGUAAUUC